AUCAUAAUGGCAGAUUAGUGCAUUAGGUUUAAGCCCUAAAUAUGAAAGUAAUUUCUUAUGAUA
rnacentral:tRNA from 1 species